UGGGGUAUAGCUCAACAGGAGACCAUUUGACUGCAGAUCAAGAGGUCACUGUUUCAAAUCCAGAUGCCUCCU
rnacentral:tRNA from 1 species